CUGAGAGAGCAGCUGGUGAGCCGUCAAGGUGAAGUGAGCAGGGCAGGAACAACAACAUACUGCCGUCACAGCUUGUGUCCCAAAAAUGGUAAUUACUUAAUAAAAUGGACAAGGGGAACAAGUAAGUCUGUCUCCUCUGAACCACCAUGGGCGGAGAGGACACAUCUGCUGCAGCCGUGCAGACGCAUUGCCGAUGAUUACCGCAGAGAACAGAUCUAGGAGUGAAAGGUGCCUGCUCUGGACUGUUUCAGCUGCUGCCAACAUCUCAGAGUGGAAUAUUUACCUUUCACUCUAAAACCGGGAAAAGGGAAGCCAAUAUCCAACACCAACCUGUGUAUUCAGCAGCUGUUUGCUCAGGUGAAUAAACCCUAAUUUAGGCUAUUUCUGUUUAUUCAGAAAAGGGGGGUUACUAGUAAUGUUGUAAAACUAUCAUUCAUUAAGAGCUGCAAUUCAGAGUUAACUUAAUGCCAAAUAAACCCUGCAAAGAAAAUGAUGCUUACCAUGUGUGUAGAUGUAGGAGAUAUUUGAUUGAUGUAGCUCUUAGUCUCUAUUUGACCCCUUAUUAAUAUGCAAAGUGGACUGAUAUGUUGUG